AACGAGCAGGGGAGGGGCAGAGAGCGAGGGAGACACAGAAUCUGAAGCAGGCUCCAGGCUCCGAGCGGUCGGCAUAGAGCCUGACGCUGUGGGCUCGAACCGACAGACCGUGAGAUGGUGACUUGAGCUGAAGUCAGACGCUUGACUGACUGAGCCCCCCAGGUGACCAUGCUGGGUCUUUCUAAAGAGUAACAACAAAUAAGCACCCAUCAUACAGGAAGAAAUAAAAGAUUACUGACCGGUUCUUCAGAAACCUUUAUGUAAGCCUCUGCAAUAAUAUCUUUAUUCCUCCCCUCACCCUGACUUUUUCCCGACUCUAUGUUAACCAUUGUUCUUCUUCGUUGUGUACCACCUGUGUAUAUAUUUCUAAACAAUAUUUUGUUUAGAUUUUGCUUGUUUUGAAACUUUAUGUAACAGAAUCAUACUGUAAGGUUGUAUUUGUUUCUUUUGCAUAAUACACGUUUUGAGAUACGUCUG